UACAGAGGUCUCAAGCGUUGUUCGGAUUCAUUGGGCGUAAAGGGUGCGUAGGCGGCGCGGUAAGUCGGGUGUGAAAUCUCGGAGCUUAACUCCGAAACUGCAUUCGAUACUGCCGUGCUUGAGGACUGGAGAGGAGACUGGAAUUUACGGUGUAGCGGUGAAAUGCGUAGAUAUCAGGAGGAACACCGGUGGCGAAGGCGCCACUCUGGGCCGAAACUGACGCUGAGGAGCGAAAGCGUGGGUAGCAAACAGG
rnacentral:rRNA from 1 species